CAAGAUAUUUUUUUAAAAGUUUUUUAGCUUGUUUAGCACCAAAAAACUGGGAGGUUGUUUAUUUUGUUAAGUACUUAAGUUAGACAGAUUACACUUCUAAAAUACCAUGUACUUUGUGCAACAAAUUUUCAGUUGAUGAUGGAUCCAUUAUUUGUAGUCAAUGUUUAAGUAGUUCACGUGAUAUUGAAGACUUGAAUACGUUUGUUACAACAGGUAUACAUUUUUUCUUCGUAUUUAUAUAUAAUUAUUGAUACACUUUGAUGUGUAAAUAUAUCGGUAAAAAAAUUAUGUUCAAUAAAUAUAGUCUAAAUAAGCCUCAAGCAAGAACUCAUAAAAUUGGCAGUUAAAGUAAAUCAAAAAGUAAAUAUUUUAUUAAAUGAUGACUCAAUAAGAGAUUUUUUAUUUUUGGAUCACAAUUUUAAGAUCCAAAAAUAAAUUUUUAUUUUUAUUUUUGGAUCACAAUUUUGAUAGAUUCACAGGUAUUAGAUUUCAAUUCAAUCUUCUAAGUUGUUUGAAAUUGUUUUUAAAUAUUAAGUCUAGUGGAAGAUCUACAAUACAGUCUACUUUAUUUU